rnacentral:rRNA from 1 species
UACGGGGGGGCAAGCGUUGUUCGGAAUUACUGGGCGUAAAGGGCUCGUAGGCGGCCAACUAAGUCAGACGUGAAAUCCCUCGGCUUAACCGGGAACUGCGUCUGAUACUGGAUGGCUUGAGUUUGGGAGAGGGAUGCGGAAUUCCAGGUGUAGCGGUGAAAUGCGUAGAUAUCUGGAGGAACACCGGUGGCGAAGGCGGCAUCCUGGACCGACACUGACGCUGAGGAGCGAAAGCCAGGGAGCGAACGGG